rnacentral:lncRNA from 1 species
GUGGGGCCCUGCACCACUGUGCUUCUUCCUGAUCGCAACAGACCCGAGCGAUCUGCGAGCUGCCGCAACAACCGCGCCAAGACCCUACUGGUGCCUAAAAAUCCCAAGGCACCGACCCCUGCGGCUAUUCACAGGCACUCCUUUCGCCUCAUAGAGAGUAAUCACCAUGGGGAGAGAAGGUAGAAGGGAGUAGAGGUCUAGGGCGUUGCCGACGUCGUCUUCUGCCAUCACGUCAUCCAGUGCUCGUGUGGAGGUCCUGGGGAACCAACGUGCCGUAAGGGACCUGGGCGAACCUCUCUCGUGCAAGGAUUCGGCCGGGCUCGCCGGGAAUUUCUCACUGACGCAAGCCACUGCCGUGGAUCGAGCUCUGCUGUGGCCGGAGCGCUACGCGACAGACCCUCUGGUAAGGACCCUUUUGCCGAGUUCGUCAUUGUCUCCGCAUCUCGUAGUAGCUGGCGGAUUUGGCGCUGGUGCUCUCUUGCGCCAGAUCGAUGUUCUUUGGCGAGGAUCCGCCGCGGCCAGGGCGGCGCCGCUGAGCUCCGCCGUCGGGAUUGGGUAGAAGAGCCCUGGCCAUUGAUCCUAGGCUGGACGGCUCAGAUUAAAAUGGGUGUAUCAUUUUGGCUUUGGCAACUUGGAUCAUACGAUCCAAAUCUUGCGCGUAGGAUUCGAUGACAUGCACUUUAAUCUAGGCUCGCUAGAUCUGGUAUGGACGGCUGCGAUUAGAGUCAGGGUUACCAGCAUCAUGGUUGUGCAAGGGUCGUUAGAUCAAGAUCUUGCGACCCUGAUUGAACCAUACCCCUUCGUGGAACCCGUUUUAUAAAAGAGCCCCUGCCCUUUUUACAUAUCAACCCGUCAUCCCCUGUGUGUUGAGAGCAUAGCAGAUAGGUCCUAAUUUCAGAAUCUUUUUUAAUUCAUAAUUAAUUCAUUUUGAUCCAUUCAAGUUGCAUUAAACUCAUAAUGAUAUUUUAUCAUCCAGUAACCUUAUUUUAGUAUGAAAUAUAUGGUUAAAAUCAUGCACUUAGUUUGUUUAUGUCCAACACCUAAACCUUCAGAAAAUCAUAACUCUUUAACCGUAACUCUGAAUUUAGUGGUUCUCGAACCUACGAUCUCGUUACGAUACGUGGAACAUUAUUAUACAGUAUGUUCUUAUGUUUGGUGUGAUGUUAAUUUCUCCUACACUAUGUAUGUUUGUAUUGUUGCGAGUAGACGAGCAAGCAACCGAGGUUCCCGGUACUCAAUAGGUGAAAAUACUGAGCGAGAGCUCGUUGAAGGCAAGUUGUGUCCUUGACCAUUUCUCUUUACCCAAUAAUGUUCUUAUUAAUCAUUAUGAUCUGCGUAAGUUAAUUUUGAUGGGACCCAAAAGGUCACCCUAGUUUGGUCAUCUUUAUACCUUGUUUACCACUGAACUUUUGGGUAGUAUAUGCUAUUGCUUUUAUGUGGUUUUGGGUGUUAAGAUACACAUUAUUCAUGAUUAUGCUUUUUAUUGCCAAUGAGUUAUUUAUUGUUCAUGACAAGAUCACUAUGUUAAUUGGAACAUGGAGCGACUACACAGGAAAAACAGUGCUACCACAAGGGUGGUAUGGGACGCUGUCGGCGUUUCGACCCCGGGGGGUCCCUGGACUGACGAGUAAAAUUGUCGCUGCGUGUCCCAGCCCAGAUGGGUUGGCGCGAGAUGGAACACAAGGGGGAAAACCGCGGCUCGUGUUAUCCUGCGCCAGGGGGGGAUGCGCUUGCAGUAGGGGUUACAAGCGUUCGCGCGCGAGAGAGAGAGAGAGAGAGAGAGAGAGAGAGAGAGAGAGAGAGAGAGAGAGAGAGAGAGAGCCUGUUCGUCAGCCCGUCCUCCCGCGCGACGACCCUCCCGCAUGAGGGCUGAAAGUCGCCUAGAGGGGGGGUGAAUAGGGCGAAACUGAAAUUUACAAACUUAAUCACAACUACAAGCCGGGUUAGCGUUAGAAAUAUAAUCGAGUCCGAGAGAGAGGGUUCAAAACAAAUCGCAAGCGAAUAAAGAGUGUGACACGCGGAUUUGUUUUACCGAGGUUCGGUUCUCGCAAACCUACUCCCCGUUGAGGUGGUCACAAAGACUGGGUCUCUUUCAACCCUUUUCCUCUCUCAAACGGUCCCUCGAACCGAGUGAGCUUCUCUUCUCAAAUCAAUUGGGAACCAAACUUCCCGCAAGGACCACCACACAAUUGGUGUCUCUUGCCUUGUUUACAAUUGAGAUGAUCGCAAGAACGAAUGAGAAAAAGAAGCAAUCCAAGCGCAAGAGCUCAAAAGAACACAACAAAUCUCUCUCACUUAACACUAAAGCUUUUGUGGAAUUGGGAGAGGAUUUGAUCACUUGGGUGUGUCUAGAAUUGAAUGCUAGAGCUCUUGUAAGUAGUUGGAAGGUGGAAAACUUGGAUGAUUUGAAUGUGGGGUGGUUGGGGGUAUUUAUAGCCCCAACCACCAAACUAGCCGUUUGGUGGAGGCUGCUGUCGCAUGGCGCACCAGACAGUCCGGUGCGCCACCGGACACUGUCCGGUGCGCUAGCCACGUCACCAGGCCGUUGGGUUCCGACCGUUGGAGCUCUGACUUGUGGGCCCGCUUGGCUGUCCGGUGGCGCACCGGACAAGUCCUGUAGACUGUCCGGUGUGCCACCCGCGCGUGCACUGCUUCUCUACGCGCGCAGGCGCGCAUUUAAUGCGUUGCAGUCGACCGUUGGCGCGAAGUAGUCGUUGCUCCGUUGGCUCACCGGACAGUCCGGUGUGCACCGGACAUGUCCGGUGAAUUAUAGUGGAGCGGAUUCCCGAAGCUGGAGAGUUCAGAGUUGCUCUUUCUUGGGGCACCGGACAGUCCGGUGAAUUAUAGCGGAGCGCCUCUGCAUUUUCCCGAAGGUGAAGAGUUUGGCUUGGAGUCCCCUGGUGCACCGGACACUGUCCGGUGGUGCACCUGACACUGUCCGGUGCGCCAGACCAGGGCACACUUCGGUUGUCCCUUGCUCUCUUUGUUGAACCCUUUUCUUGGUCUUUUUAUUGGCUUUUUGUGAACCUUUGGCACCUGUAUAACUUAUACACUAGAGCAAACUAGUUAGUCCAAUUAUUUGUGUUGGGCAAUUCAACCACCAAAAUCAAUUAGGAAAUAGGUGUAAGCCUAAUUCCCUUUCAAUCUCCCCCUUUUUGGUGAUUGAUGCCAACACAAACCAAAGCAAGUAUAGAAGUGCAUAAUUGAACUAGGUUGCAUAAUUGUAAGUGCAAAGGUUACUUAGAAUUGAGCCAAUAUAAAUACUUAUAAGAUACGCAUGGAUUGUUUCUUUAAUUUUAACAUUUUGGACCACGCUUGCACCACUUGUUUUGUUUUUGCAAUUUCUUUUGUAAAUCCUUUUCAAAGUCCUUUUGCAAAUAGUCAAAGGUAAAUGAAUAAGAUUUUGCAAAGCAUUUUUAAGAUUUGAAAUUUUCUCCCCCUGUUUCAAAUGCUUUUCCUCUGACUAAAUAAAUCUCCCCCUUAAUGAAAUCCUCCUCUUAGUGUUCAAGAGGGUUUUAAGAUAUCAAUUUUGAAAAUACUACUUUCUCCCCCUUUUGAACAUAAUGAGAUACCAAUUUGAAAAUCAUACCAAUUGAAAAAAAACUCUUUUUAAAAUUAGUGGUGGUGCGGUCCUUUUGCUUUGGGCUAAUACUUUCUCCCCCUUUGGCAUGAAUCGCCAAAAACGGAUACUUUGAGUGAAAUAUAAGCCCUUGUAAAACUACUUUCUCCCCUUUGGCAAAUAAAACAUGAGUGAAGAUUAUACCAAAGACGGAGAGAUGCUCGGAGCGACGGCGAAGGAUGAGUGACGUAGUGGAAGCCUUUGUCUUCGCCGAAGACUCGAAUUCCCUUUCAAUAUACCUAUGACUUGGUUUGAAAUUUACUUGAAAACACAUUAGUCAUAGCACAUGAAAGAGACAUGAUCAAAGGUAUAUGAAUGAGUUAUGUGUGCAAAUCAACAAAAGAAGUUCGUAAAAUCAAGAAUAUUUAGCUCAUGCCUAAGUUUGUUAAAAGUUUGUUCAUCUAGUGGCUUGGUAAAGAUAUCGGCUAAUUGAUCUUUAGUGUUAAUAUAUGCAAUCUCGAUAUCUCCCUUUUGUUGGUGAUCCCUUAAGAAAUGAUACCAAAUGGCUAUGUGUUUAGUGCGGCUAUGCUCAACGGGAUUAUCCGCCAUGCGGAUUGCACUCUCAUUAUCACAUAGAAGAGGAACUUUGGUUAAUUUGUAACCAUAGUCCCUAAGGGUUUGCCUCAUCCAAAGUAGUUGCGCGCAACAAUGGCCUGCGGCAAUGUACUCGGCUUCGACGGUAGAGAGAGCUACAGAAUUUUGCUUCUUUGAAGCCCAAGACACCAAGGAUCUUCCCAAGAACUGGAAAGUCCCCGAUGUGCUCUUCCUAUUAAUUUUACACCCGCCCAAUCGGCAUCCGAAUAACCAAUCAAAUCAAAUGUGGAUCCCCUAGGAUACCAAAGCCCAAACUUAGGAGUAUGAACUAAAUAUCUCAAGAUUCGUUUUACGGCCGUAAGGUGAGCUUCCUUAGGGUCGGCUUGGAAUCUUGCACACAUGCAUACAGAAAGCAUAAUAUCCGGUCGAGAUGCACAUAAAUAAAGCAAAGAGCCUAUCAUCGACCGGUAUACCUUUUGAUCUACGGAUUUACCUUCUGUGUCGAAGUCGAGAUGUCCAUUUGUUCCCAUGGGUGUCUUGAUGGGUUUGGCAUCCUUCAUCCCAAACUUGCUUAGAAUGUCUUGAGUAUACUUCGUUUGGCUAAUGAAGGUGCCCUCUUGGAGUUGCUUCACUUGAAAUCCCAAGAAAUACUUCAACUCCCCCAUCAUAGACAUCUCGAAUUUCUGUGUCAUGAUCCUACUAAACUCUUCACAUGUAGAUUUGUUAGUAGACCCAAAUAUAAUAUCAUCAACAUAAAUUUAGCAUACAAACAAAUCAUUUUCAAGUGUUUUGGUAAAGAGUGUAGGAUCGGCCUUUCCGACUUUGAAUCCAUUAGUGAUAAGGAAAUCUCUAAGGCAUUCAUACCAUGCUCUUGGGGCUUGCUUGAGCCCAUAAAGCGCCUUAGAGAGUUUAUAAACAUGGUUAGGGUACUCACUAUCUUCAAAGCCGGGAGGUUGCUCAACAUAGACCUCUUCCUUGAUUGGUCCAUUGAGGAAAGCACUCUUCACGUCCAUUUGAUAAAGCUUGAAGCCAUGGUAAGUAACAUAGGCUAAUAAUAUACGAAUUGACUCAAGCCUAACUACGGGUGCAUAGGUUUCACCGAAAUCUAAACCUUCGACUUGUGAAUAUCCCUUGGCCACAAGUCGGGCUUUGUUCCUUGUCACCACACCAUGCUCGUCUUGCUUGUUGCGGAAAACCCACUUGGUUCCUACAACAUUUUGAUUAGGACGUGGAACCAAAUGCCAUACCUCAUUCCUAGUGAAGUUGUUGAGCUCCUCUUGCAUUGCCACCACCCAAUCCGAAUCUUGUAGUGCUUCCUCUACCCUGUGUGGCUCAAUAGAGGAGACAAAAGAGUAAUGCUCACAAAAAUGUGCAACACGAGAUCUAGUAGUUACCCCCUUAUGAAUGUCGCCGAGGAUGGUGUCGAUAGGCUGAUCUCGUUGGAUUGCUUGGUGGACUCUUGGGUGUGGCGGUCUUGGUUCUUCAUCCUCCUUGUCUUGAUCAUUUGCAUCUCCCCCUUGAUCAUUGCCGUCAUCUUGAGGUGACUCAUCUCUUUGAUCUUCUUCUUCAUCAACUUGAGCCUCAUCCUCAUUUUGAGUUGGUGGAGAUGCUUGCGUGGAGGAGGAUGGUUGAUCUUGUGCAUUUGGAGGCUCUUCGGAUUCCUUAGGACACACAUCCCCAAUGGACAUGUUUCUUAGUGCGAUGCAUGGAGCCUCUUCAUCACCUAUCUCAUCAAGAUCAACUUGCUCUACUUGAGAGCCAUUAGUCUCAUCAAACACAAUGUCACAAGAAACUUCAACUUGUCCAGAGGACUUGUUAAAGACUCUAUAUGCCCUUGUGUUUGAAUCAUAUCCUAGUAAAAAGCCUUCUACAGUCUUAGGUGCAAAUUUAGAUUUUCUACCUCUUUUAACAAGAAUAAAGCAUUUGCUACCAAAGACUCUAAAAUAUGAAAUAUUGAGCUUUUUAUCGGUUAGGAGUUCGUAUGAUGUCUUCUUGAGGAUUCAGUGUAGAUACAAUCGGUUGAUGGCGUAGCAAGCGGUGUUGACCGCCUCGGCCCAAAACCGAUCCGAAGUCUUGUACUCAUCAAGCAUGGUUCUUGCCAUGUCCAAUAGAGUUCUAUUCUUCCUCUCCACUACACCAUUUUGUUGUGGUGUGUAGGGAGAAGAGAACUCAUGCUUGAUGCCCUCCUCCUCAAGAAAACCUUCAAUUUGAGAGUUCUUGAACUCCGUCCCGUUGUCGCUUCUUAUUUUCUUGAUCCUUAAGCCGAACUCAUUUUGAGCUCGUCUCAAGAAUCCCUUUAUGGUCUCUUGGGUAUGAGAUUUUUCCUGCAAAAAGAAUACCCAAGUGAAGCGAGAAUAGUCAUCCACAAUAACUAGACAGUACUUACUCCCGCCGAUGCUUUAUAAGCUAUCGGGCCGAAUAGAUCCAUGUGUAGGAGUUCCAGUGGCCUGUCAGUUGUCAUGAUGUUCUUAUGUGGAUGAUGAGCACCAACUUGCUUCCCUGCUUGACAUGCGCUACAAAUCCUGUCUUUCUCAAAAUGAACAUUUGUUCAUCCUAAAAUGUGCUCUUCCUUUAGAAGCUUAUGAAGAUUCUUCAUCCCAACAUGGGCUAGUCGGCGGUGCCAUAGCCAACCCAUGUUAGUCUUAGCAAUUAAGCAAGUGUCGAGUUCAGCUCUAUCAAAAUCUACCAAGUAUAGCUGACCCUCUAACACUCCCUUAAAUGCUAUUGAAUCAUCACUUCUUCUAAAGACAGUGACACCUACAUCAGUAAAAAGACAGUUGUAGCCCAUUUGACAUAAUUGAGGAACGGAAAGCAAAUUGUAGUCUAAAGAAUCUACAAGAAAAACAUUGGAAAUGGAAUGGUCAGGUGAUAUAGCAAUUUUACCCAAACCUUUGACCAAACCUUGAUUUCCAUCCCCGAAUGUGAUAGCUCGUUGGGGAUCUUGGUUUUUCUCGUAGGAGGAGAACAUCUUCUUCUCCCCUGUCAUGUGGUUUGUGCACCCACUGUCGAUAAUCCAACUUGAGCCCCCGGAUGCAUAAACCUACAAAACAAUUUUAGUUCUUGACUUUAGUUACCCAAAUGGUUUUGGAUCCUUUGGCAUUAGACACAAGAACUUUGGGUACCCAAACACAAGUCUUUGACCCCUUGUGCUUGCCCGUGACAUAUUUGGCAACUACCUUGCCAGAUUUGUUAGUUAACACAUAAGAUGCAUCAAAAGUUUUAAAUGAAAUGUUGUGUUCAUUUGAUGCACUAGAAGUUUUCUUCUUAGGCAAUUUAGCAUGGUUUGAUUGCCUAGAACUAGAUGUCUCACCCUUAUACAUAAAAGCAUGGUUAGGGCCAGAGUGAGACUUCCUAGAAUGAAUUCUCCUAAUUUUGCUCUCGGGAUAACCGGCAGGGUAUAAAAUGUAACCCUCGUUAUCCUGAGGCAUGGGAGCCUUGCCCUUAACAAAGUUAGAUAAUCUUUUAGGAGGGGCAUUAAGUUUGACAUUGUCCCCCUUUUGGAAGCCAAUGCCAUCCUUGAUGCCCGGGCAUCUCCCACUAUAGAGCAUGCUUCUAGCAAAUUUAAAUUUUUCAUUUUCUAAGUCAUGCUCAUUAAUUUUAGCAUUAAGUUGAGCUAUGUGAUCAUUUUGUUUCUUAAUUAAAGCUAGGUGAUCAUGGAUAGCAUCAAUAUUAAUGUCUCUACAUCUAAUGCAAAUGGAAGUAUGCUCAACGGUAGAUGUAGAGGGUUUGCAAGAUUUUAAUUCUACAACCUUAGCAUGCAAUAUAUCAUUUUUACUUCUAAGGUCGGAAAUGGUAGCAUUGCAAACAUCAAAAUCUUUAGCCUUAGCAAUCAAUUUUUCAUUUUCAUUUCUAAGGCUAGCAAGAGACAUGUUCAAUUCUUCAAUCUUAGCAAGCAAAUCAACAUUAUCAUUUCUAAGAUUUGGAAUUGAAACAUCACAAACAUUUGAAUCAACCUUAGCUAAUAAAUUAGCAUUCUCAUUUCUAAGGUUGUUAAUAGUCUCAUGGCAAGUGCUUAGCUCACUAGAUAAUUUUUCACAUUUGUCUACUUCUAGAGCAUAAGAAUUUUUAACCUUAACAUGCUUUUUGUUUUCUUUAAUAAGGAAGUCCUCUUGGGAGUCCAAGAGAUCAUACUUCUCAUGAAUAACACUAAUCAAUUCAUUUAAUUUUUCCUUUUGUUGCAUGUUUAGGUUGGCAAAAAGGGUACGCAAAUUAUCCUCCUCAUCACUAGCAUUAUCAUCACUAGAGGACUCAUAUUUAGUGGAGGAUUUGGAUUUAACCUUCUUCUUUUUGCCGUCCUUUGCCAUGAGGCACUUGUGGCCGACGUUGGGGAAAAGAAGUCCCUUGGUGAUGGCGAUGUUGGCGGCGUCCUCGUCGGAGGAGGAGUCGCUAGAGCUUUCGUCGGAGUCCCACUCGCGACAAACAUGGGCAUCGCCGCCCUUCUUCUUGUAGUACCUCUUCUUCUCCUUUCUUCUCCCCUUCUUGUCGUCGCCCCUAUCACUGUCGCUAGAUAGUGGACAUUUUGCAAUAAAAUGACCGGGCUUACCACAUUUGUAGCAAACUUUCUUGUAGCGGGGCUUGUAAUCUUUCCCCCUCCUUUGCUUGAGGAUUUGGCGGAAGCUCUUGAUGACGAGCGCCAUUUCCUCAUUGUCGAGCUUGGAGGCAUCGAUGGGUGUUCUACUCGAUGUAGACUCCUCCUUCUUCUCCUCCGUCGCCUUAAAUGCGACCGGUUGUGCUUCGGACGUGGAGGGACCAUAAAGCUCGUUGAUCUUCCUUGAACCUUUGAUAAUGAACUCAAAGCUCACAAAAUUCCCGAUCACUUCCUCGGGAGUCAUUAGAGUAUAUCUAGGAUUGCCACGAAUCAAUUGAACUUGAGUAGGGUUAAGGAAAAUAAGUGAUCUUAGAAUAACCUUAACCAUUUCGUGGUCAUCCCAUUUUUUGCUCCCGAGGUUGCGCACUUGAUUCACCAAGGUUUUGAGCCGGUUGUACAUGUCUUGUGGCUCCUCCCCUUGGCGAAGACAGAAGCGACCGAGCUCCCCCUCGAUCGUCUCCCGCUUGGUGAUCUUGGUUAGCUCAUCUCCUUCGUGUGCGGUCUUGAGCACGUCCCAAACUUCCUUGGCGCUCUUUAAUCCUUGCACCUUGUUAUACUCCUCUUGACUUAGAGAGGCGAGGAGUAUAGUUGUGGCUUGGGAGUUGAAGUGCUCGAUUUGGGCUACCUCGUCCUCAUCAUAAUCCUCAUCCCCUACGGAUGGUACCUAUGCUCCAAACUCAACAACAUUCCAUAUACUUUUGUGGAGUGAGGUUAGGUGAAAUUUCAUCAAAUCACUCCACCUAGCGUAAUCUUCACCGUCAAAGGUUGGCGGUUUGCCUAAUGGAACGAAAAGUAAUGGAGUAUGUCUCGGAAUGCGAGGGUAGCGUAGGGGAAUCUUACUAAACUUCUUGCGCUCAUGGCGCUUAGAAGUAAUGGAUGGCGCGUCGGAGCCAGAGGUGGAAGGUGAUGAAGUAUCGGUCUCGUAGUAGACCACCUUCCUCAUCUUCUUUUUCUUGUCGCCACUCCGAUGCGACUUGUGGGAAGAGGAUUUCUUCUCCUUCCCCUUGUUGCGGGACUCUUCCGAUGAAGCUUUCCCGUGGCUUGUAGUGGGCUUGUCGCCGGUCUCCAUCUCCUUCUUGGCAUGAUCUCUCGACAUCACUUCGAGCGGUUAGGCUCUAAUGAAGCACCGGGCUCUAAUACCAAUUGAAAGUCACCUAGAGGGGGGGGGGGUGAAUAGGGCAAAACUGAAAUUUACAAACUUAAUCACAACUACAAGCCGGGUUAGCGUUAGAAAUAUAAUCGAGUCCGAGAGAGAGGGUUCAAAACAAAUCGCAAGCGAAUAAAGAGUGUGACACGCGGAUUUGUUUUACCGAGGUUCGGUUCUUGCAAACCUACUCCCCGUUGAGGUGGUCACAAAGACUGGGUCUCUUUCAACCCUUUCCCUCUCUCAAACAGUCCCUCGGACCGAGUGAGCUUCUCUUCGCAAAUCAAUUGGGAACCAAACUUCCCGCAAGGACCACCAUACAAUUGGUGUCUCUUGCCUUGUUUACAAUUGAGAUGAUCGCAAGAACGAAUGAGAAAAAGAAGCAAUCCAAGCGCAAGAGCUCAAAAGAACACAACAAAUCUCUCUCACUUAACACUAAAGCUUUUGUGGAAUUGGGAGAGGAUUUGAUCACUUGGGUGUGUCUAGAAUUGAAUGCUAGAGCUCUUGUAAGUAGUUGGAAGGUGGAAAACUUGGAUGAUUUGAAUGUGGGGUGGUUGGGGGUAUUUAUAGCCCCAACCACCAAACUAGCCGUUUGGUGGAGGCUGCUGUCGCAUGGCGCACCGGACAGUCCGGUGCGCCACCGGACACUGUCCGGUGCGCCAGCCACGUCACCAGGCCGUUGGGUUCCGACAGUUGGAGCUCUGACUUGUGGGCCCGCCUGGCUGUCCAGUGGCACACCGGACAAGUCCUGUAGACUGUCCGGUGUGCCACCCGCGCGUGCACUGCUUCUCUGCGCGCAGGCGCACAUUUAAUGCGUUGCAGUCGACCGUUGGCGCGAAGUAGUCGUUGCUCCGCUGGCUCACCGGACAGUCCGGUGUGCACCGGACAUGUCCGGUGAAUUAUAGCGGAGCGGAUUCCCAAAGCUGGCGAGUUCAGGCUCUUCCUUGGGGCACCGGACACUGUCCGGUGGUGCACCGGACAGUCCGGUGAAUUAUAGCGGAGCGCCUCUGCAUUUUCCCGAAGGUAAAGAGUUUGGCUUGGAGUCCCGUGGUGCACCGGACACUGUCCGGUGGUGCACCGGACAGUCCGGUGCGCCAGACCAGGGCACACUUCGGUUGUCCCUUGCUCUCUUUGUUGAACCCUUUUCUUGGUCUUUUUAUUGGCUUUUUGUGAACCUUUGGCACCUGUAUAACUUAUACACUAGAGCAAACUAGUUAGUCCAAUUAUUUGUGUUGGGCAAUUCAACCACCAAAAUCAAUUAGGAAAUAGGUGUAAGCCUAAUUCCCUUUCAAGGGCCCUGCACCUUCCUUUUAUAGAUGCAAGGAGAGGGUCCAGGUGUACAAUGGGGGUGUAGCUAUGCGCUAACGUGUCCGGCAGAGAGGUGCCUGAGCCCUGUGUACAUGCCAACGUGGCUGUCGGAGAGGUGCUGGAGCCCUGUGUACGUGGUAUCGUGGCCGUCGGAGGAGCGCUUGAGCCCUGUAGAAGCACAGCUAUCGGGGCUGCUGGGACCUUGCUGACGUCUCCUUGCUUCUGUAGGGGGCUGAGAACCACCGUCGUCAUGAACACACGCGGGGUCCGAGCCCAAGGUCGGGCGAGGCGGAGACUCCUCCUGAGGCCGAGGACGGGGUCGGGUGAGGACGUGAUUCCUCCCGAGGUCGAGGUUAAGGCCGAGCCCUGGGGUCGGGCGAGGCGGAGACCACCUUCCGAGGCCGAGGCGGGGGCCGAGACCUGGGGUCAGGCGAGGCGAAGACCUCCUCCUGAGGCCGAGGCCCAAGGUCGGGCGAGGCGGAGCUUCCUGUUGCGCCUGAGGCUGGACUUAGCUGUGGUCAGCCUCACCCUGGAAGGUGGCACAACAGUCGGAGAGGGGCGAGCGGCGCUGUUUUCCUGUCAGGUCGGUCAGUGGAAGGGCAAAGUGACUGCGGUCACUUCGACCUUGCCGACUGAGGCACGUGUGUCAGGAUAAGGCGUCAGGCGAUCCUCGCAUUGAAUGCGCCGGCGAUAUGGUCGGUUGGUGAGGCGAUUUGGCCAAGGUUGCUUCACAACGAAGCCUGCCUGAGCUGGGCUUUGGGCGAGUCGAGGGUGCGUCCGUUGCUUGAGGAGGCCCUCGGGCGAGGCGUGAAUUCGCCUGGACUACUGUUCUCUCCCGAGGCUGGGCUCGGGCGAGGCGAGAUCGCGUCCCUUGAUUAGACGAAGCCUUGACCUGAAUUGCGCCCAUCAGUCUUUGCAGCUUGUGCUGAUGGUGGUUACCAGCCGUGUUUAGGAGCGUUGGGGGUACCCCUCAUUACGGUACCCAACAGUAGCCCCCGAGCCUCAAAGGGAGUGUUGGUACUCGCUUGGAGGCUUUGCCGCACUCUUUUGCGAGGGGACUGGCCUUUCUCGGUUACACUUUGUUCCGGUGGGUGCGCGCGAGCACACCCGCCGGGUGUAGCCCCUGAGGCCUCGGAGGAGUGGUUUGACUCCUCCGAGGUCUUAAUGCCUUUCGUGAUGCCUCAGCCGGUCUGGUUGUUCCCUCAUGCGACCUGAUCGUAGCCCGGGUGCAUGGUCAGGUUCCGAGUUUUCAGGCUGGUUUGUUGAUGCUGUCAACGGUUUGGCCGUAGCCGGGUUUGCGAGAGCAGCCCCCAAGCCUCUACAUGGAGCGAGAGGAUGAUCAAAGACUAUCUCGACUUUUAUCAUACGCCCCUUCGUCGUCUUUCCGCAAGGAGGAAGGGGGGGGGAAGCGCCAUGUUGCCCUCGGAGGGCGCCGAACAUGGUGUCUCCAGUGAGUUGCUAACGGGUGAUCCGAGUGGACGCCCGUGCCCCGUUUGAUAAGGGUCGGCUAGUGGCCCAGAGGCGCGCUCCAAAAGUACCUACAGGUGAUUUGCCGGACCCGGACCCGUUCGAUGGGGUCCGAGGGCUCGAUGCCUCCCUCUGAUGGGAUUUCGUUACAAAAUCGCUCCUGCUGGUCUCGAAAAUGUCCUAGGGUACCUCAGGAGUGUAGCCCGAGCCUCGACCAUGUAACGGACGUACCCAGAGUCAUCCCUCGCUCUGCGUGCUCUAAGGCGGCUAUCGAACCCUUCCAAGGGGCCAGCCUUCGAACCCCUGAUCAGUAGUGGGCGCGGAGCCCGAGUGCUCUGAGGCGGCUGUCGAACCCUUCCGAGGGGCCAGCCUUCGAACCUCUGAUCAGUAAUGAGCCUGAAGCCCGAGUGCUCUGGGGCGGCUGUCGAACCCUUCCGAGGAGCCAGCCUUCGAACCCCUCAUCAGUAGGAGGGCUCGGGGCCCGCUUCCUUCGCGGAGAAGGAUCCCUUUUGAAAUAUCCCCUUUCCCGGUCCCUAUAGCAAGAGAGAGAAAGGGGAAGAGGAAAAGGAUAUGAAUUUAAAUGGUGUGGCGCACCUUUUUUGACGCGGUCAUCAUGGCGGAGGUGAAACGACGCUCGCUUCGCCUGCCAAAGGUGUCGCUUGCCCUGCCGCGGAGUUAAUGCGACGAGACGGGUGGUUCGCGGGGCGGCCGCGUGCGCGAGCCGUUCGAGGAACGGAACACGGGCGUGUCGUCUUCACGCCGUGGGAGAAGGCUCCCCUGCUGCUCCAGGAGGGGACGUGUGCCUGCAGACGAUUUGACCGCCGCUUCCGCUCGUCUGCUGCCGCCAUUACUGACGGACCACUUUUGGCCAUAUCAACCGUCGCGCCUCCUCCCGCGGCUGACUGACCCGUGAUCGAUGUGCUCGAUUGGCACUGUUGGGCCAUGCGUAGGGUUGCCUCGAGAUCGUGGCACUGGUUCCACAGUCGAGGAGGCGCGGUAUUGGCGCAAGUGGCGGUGCGGUUUCUUGCACGUAGUAACCGGCACGCCGGUUCAUGACGUGUGGGCCUGGGCCUCCAUGCUGGAUGCGUCGAAGCCGAGGGGGUGCGCCCUCGUGGUGCGGUUGCACGCCACCUGCAUGACGGUUCGCCCUUUCGACCGCUGGUUUCGACAAGGAUGGAGGAGUGCUUGAACCACGGGGCAGUUAUACGCUCCGCGUGCGGUGGUCUGGCUUCUUCCGUUCCGGGCCAGCUUGCAUGAUGUGUGGGACCCAGCCCCCGUGUCGUAGGGGGAGGACCCUGGAGCACGUUGGUGAAGACUUUGUCCGUGACGCCUGAGAACACGAGUGGGGAGAGCCACCUUUAAAAAGGGAUCGAUCCCCCAGGCGGUAGCCAUGCCUUCGCACUCCCCUCAUGCAUCGCGCCCUUCCACCUUCUGAGCCCCCGGAUGGGGAGCGCACGCGUUGCCUUCGUCUUGUUGUUGGAGGAGCGCAACCUCGCGGAGGUUGGCACCCUUCAGCCAUCGCUCGGCUUCAAGGAUUUACAUCAGGCAGCCCGGCUGCAUUCCCUCACCAAUGGUCAUCCAGGAUGGUGACCACCAGUUUGAUGGUGGGGAGAAGCAAGCCGGGCUGUGGCCUCUGCCCCGCCCUCAGCUUCAAGGAUCUUCAUCAUCCUUGCUAUGGCGGGGGGCGAGCUGAGCCGGAGUUCUACCUCCCGCACGGGCCGGCGGGCCGCCUCUUCCUUCAGCAUUUAGGGGAGAGGGCGCUCACCGGCCUUGCGGAGGGGGCGAACUUCGACAACGCGGGGCCGGUCGGCCGCAAGCAUCGUCAGCUCCAUCGUGCCUGGCUGGCUGGCUCAGCUGGCUCUGUCGCGGCCUCCGACGCUGCCUCCUGCCGCUUGAUCCGGGCGUGGCCAUUCGUCCACCGCAUGGGCGAUCGUUGCGCCGUGCGCACCGGGGGACCGUCCAAGACGUCACACGCCGCUAGGGCGGCGUUCGUGUUCUUGGACUGUCUUGUCCUCACUCCAGCACGACGCCUCCGCACGGAGGUCUAUGCCAGCCCGUCCGCGAGGACUUGAGUGGGGAUCUGUCGGUGCAGGCUGGGGCGGCCGCCGGAGGAGGUUUCUCUGCCGACGAGACCGUCGGCGCCGCCCGCGGACAGACCUCCGACUCUUUGGCUUUGACGGCUUGUCCUCGCCCCUCGUGUGGGGGCGUGGGCAAGGGCCUUCCUGCAGCAGCAUUUGCCCUGAGGUCAUCGCUGCUGCUGUUUAGCCGCCUGAGGCGGAGGUCAUUGCUGCGCUGUUGGUGCAGCGGUCGCCGGCGAGCCACCCGGAGUUUGUCGUCCCGCAGGCUCUCCGAUGUGGAGGUUGUUCAUACCCGCGGGAGUGGAACCAGAGUUCCGUUUGUAAUGGCACCUUGAGUGCCGGUGUAUGUUCGUUGUGGCUGUCGGGGCCUGAACAUCUGGGUAUUUGGGCGUGAAGCCGUGUUUCUCCCUCAUUUCGAGCACUAGGACUCGCCUGUCGGCCAGCUGAACCGCUUAACCGAGUGUGAGUUGCCCUGCGCGGAAGGUGACAAGUGAUGUAUCCGUAUCCUGGAGAUGUAGGAGUCCCUCGGCUCGGUCGGCCUUGCCACUCAAGGCUUCUCUUGCUCAGUUUAAGAACCCUCGGCUACUCUGCGAUGAGCUGGAGCCGGAGGCAGCGGUGUCGGCGUGGACAGAGGCGGAGUCGGCUCGAAAAGGGGCUUCGUCGGCCCAGGAGCAGGUGGCUUCCCAGGCCGAGGAGGUGCAGCAGCGGCGACUGGAGCUUGGCCAGGUCGUUCGCUAGCGGGACCAACCCCGGAGUCACGCUGCCGAGGCCGUGAGUCGGGCUGAUGUCCUCGGGGGACAGUUGGCUGAGGCUACGGAGUGGCCGGUCGAGGUGUCUGCUCGGACCGGGACCCUUGCGGAGACCUUGGCUACAAUGGCCCAAGCGUGGUGCUGGCGUCCUCCUUCGAGGUGGCGAUCCUUCCGCCCGUGUCGCCGUCUGAGGCCGGGCCAGAUCCCGCCGAAGGCGAAAACGACACUGAGGGUGCUGCUGCUCCCUCUAUCGAUGUCUGAACCUGCAGGAACAGUUUGUCUGUAGUAUGCGUAUGUUUUUUUGCGGCCGUCGAGGCCCAAACAUAUUAUUGUCGUGUUAUAAAGCUGUGUUUCCUUUCCUCUUGUUUCGAGUAUCAGGACUUGUUCGUCGGUAGCAGAAUCGCUUAUCCGAGCGAGAGUUACUUUUUGCGGAAGGUGAUGAGUGAGGUAUCCGUAUCCCGGAGGCAUAUGAGUCCCUCGGCUCGGUCGGCCUUGCCGCUUACGUGUACUCUUACUCGUUUGUAGGAUUCUGUUAUCGAUAUAGUCGAGAAGGCACGAAAAUCGUUCUGGCAGAAAAGUUUUCGAAUGUUAAGACUUGUUCGGCAGCAGAAUUGCUUAUCCGAGCGUGAGUUACUUAUCGCAGAAGGUGAUGAGUGAGGUAUCCGUAUCCCAGAGGCGUAGGAGUCCCUCGGCUCGGUCGGCCUUGCCGCUUACGUGUACUCCGUCGUUUUUAGGACCCCGCUAUCGAAGCAGUCGAAAAGCGCGAAAGAUGUUCUGGCAGAAAGACUUUUUCCGAGGAAAAUUUUGAAGCAGAGGGGGUUCCCCCCUUCUAGCCCCCGAGGGAGGGUCGGGCUUUGCCGAGGCAAGGCUGACCCUUCCUUGACGGUUAGACUUUAUUUGUGUAUGUAAAGAGAAUGAGGUAUAUGAACGACUUGAAAACAUCUUAAGGGUAAAAGCGACGUAGCUGUCGGAUGUUCCAAGCGUUGCUGUAGACCUCGCCUUGAUCGUUGGCCAACUUGUAUGUUUCGGGCUUCAAAAUCUUGGCGAUGAUGAACGGCCCUUCCCAGGGAGGAGUAAGCUUGUGGCGCCCUCGGGUGUCCUGCCGCAGCCGAAGUACCAAGUCUCCCACCUAGAAGUCUCGGGGCCAAACCCCUCGGGCGUGAUAGCGUCGCAGAGACUGCUGAUACCGCGCCGAGUGUAGUAAGGCCAUGUCCCGAGCCUCUUCCAGCUAGUCCAGUGAGUCUUCUCGGAUGGUCUGGUUGCUUUGGUCGUCGUACGCCUUUGUCCUCGGGGAACCAUAUUCUAAGUCUGUGGGCAAGAUAGCCUCGGCCCCAUAGACUAGAAAGAACGGCGAGAAGCCCGUGGCUCGUCUUGGUGUCGUCCUCAGACUCCAGACCACCGAGGGUAGCUCUUUCAUCCAUCGCUUGCCAAACUUGUUGAGGUCGUUGUAGAUCCUCGGUUUAAGUUCUUGCAAAUCAUGUCGUUGGUGCGCUCCACCUGCCCAUUCAUCAUGGGGUGAGCUACGGCGGCCCAGUCCACACGGAUGUGGUUGUCCUCGCAGAAGUCCAGGAACUUCUUCCCAGUGAACUGGGUGCCAUUGUCGGUGAUGAUGGAGUUCGGGACCCCAAAGCGAUGGAUGAUGUUGGUGAAGAACGCCGCCGCCUGCUCGGACCUGAUGCUGGUUAGGGGUCGGACCUCGAUCCACUUGGAGAAUUUGUCGAUGGCGACCAGCAGGUGCGAGAAGCCCCCGGGUGCCUUCUGCAAAGGACCGACGAGGUCCAGACCCCACACAGCAAACGACCAGGUGAUGGGUAUUGUCUGCAGGGCCUGAGCGGGCAGGUAUGUCUGUCUUGCGUAGAAUUGACACCCCUGGCAGGAGCGUACAAUCCUAGUGGCGUCGGCCACCACGGUCGGCCAGUAGAAGCCUUGUCGGAAGGCGUUCCCAACGAGGGCUCGAGGUGCUGCAUGGUGACCGCAAGCCCCCGAGUGUAUCUCUUGCAAUAGCUCCUGUCCUUCAACGACGGAUAUGCAUCGUUGGAGAAUGCCUGAGGGGCUGCGGUGGUAGAGCUCCUUUUCAUCACCCAGUAAGACGAACGACUUGGCGCGCCGCACCAGUCGCCGAGCUUCGGCCUUGUCGAGGGUUAGCUCUCCUCGGUGGAGAUAUUGCAAGUAUGGGGUCUGCUAGUUUCGAUCAGGCGUGACCCCAUUCCGCUCUCCCUCGACGCGCAGUGCCUAACCCUCGGCGGCCGAGGAUACCUCGGGCUGGGCCGAGGCCUCCUCGGGCUGGGCUGAGGCCUCCUCGGGCUCGGGCAUGUCGUCGGUCUUGACGGAGGGUUGAUGUAUGUCUCUGGAGAAGACGUCCCGGGGAACCGUUGUCCGCCCCGAGGCUAUUUUAGCCAGCUCAUCCACAGUCUCGUUGUAUCUUCGAGCGAUGUGGUUGAGCUCGAACUCGUAGAACUUGUCUUCCAGGCGCCAAACUUCGUCGCAGUAGGCCUCCAUCUUCUGGUCGCGGCAGUGGGAGUUCUUCAUGACUUGGUCAAUGACAAGCUGCGAGUCAACACGAGCGUCGAGGUGCCGAACCCCUAGCUCGAUGGCGAUGCACAACCCAUUAACCAGAGCCUCGUACUCGGCCACGUUGUUUGACGCCGGGAAAUGGAGGCGCAGGACGUAGCAGAGAUGUUUCCCGAGGGGUGAGAUGAAGAGCAGGCCCGCGUCGGCUCCUGUUUUCAUCAGCGACCCAUCGAAGUACAUGGUCCAGAGUUCCGGUUGGAUCGGAGCUGUUGGUAGCUGGGUGUCGACCCAUUCAGCCAUGAAGUCCGCCAAGACUUGGGACUUGAUGGCCUUCCGAGGAGCGAACGAGAUUGUCUCGCCCAUGAUCUCCACCGCCAACUUUGCUAUCCUACCCGAGGCCUCUCGGCACUGGAUGAUCUCCCCCAGGGGAAGGAUGACACGACAAUCACCGGAUGAGACUCGAAGUAGUGUCGCAACUUUCGUCGCGUCAGAAUUACCACGUACAGUAGCUUCUGAAUUUGCGGGUAGCGGGUCUUGGUCUCGGAUAGUACUUCACUGAUGAAGUAGACCGGCCUCUGGACGAGCAGUGCAUGCACUUCUUCUCAUCUCUCGACUACGAUCGCGACGCUGACCACCUGAGUGGUUGCGGCUACGUAGAUCAAGAGGUCUUCUCCCGCAGCGAGGGGCACCAAGAUGGGCGCGUUUGUAAGGAGCGCCUUUAAGUUUCCGAGGGCUUCCUCGGCCUCGGGGGUCCAAGUGAAGCGCUCGGUCUUCCUUAAGAGGCGGUACAAGGGUAGGCCUUUUUCGCCGAGGCGCGAGAUGAAGCGGCUCAGAUCGGCAAGGCAUCCCAUGACCCUUUGUACUCCUUUCAAGUCUUUGAUAGGCCCCAUGUUGGUGAUGGCUGCGAUUUUCUCCGGGUUGGCCUCGAUGCCCCGCUCGGAGACGAUGAACCCCAGGAGCAUGCCUCGGGGGACUCUGAAGACACACUUCUCGGGGUUGAGCUUCACGCCCUUCGCUCUCAGACACUUGAAUGUCGUUUCAAGGUCAGAGAGAAGGUCAGAGGCUUUCCUCGUCUUGACUACGAUGUCAUCGACGUAAGCCUCGACCGUUCGGCCGAUGUGCUCUCCAAACACGUGGUUCAUGCACCUUUGGUAUGUCGCACCUGCAUUCCUCAUCUUGAUUUGGUGAUACCCUGAGUAGGCGUCGAGGAAUGACAGGGUUUCACACCCAGCAGUGGAAUCCACAAUUUGAUCAAUGCGAGGCAGAGGGUAGGGAACCUUCGGACAUGCUUUGUUUAGACCAGUGUAGUCUACGCACAUCCUCCAUUUCCCACCUUUCUUUUUCACAAGCACAAGGUUGGCUAACCAUUCGGGAUGGAAUACCUCUUUGAUGAACCCUGCAGCCAUCAGCUUGUGGAUCUCCUCGCCUAUGGCUCUGCGCUUUUCUUCGUCGAAAUGGCGCAGAGGCUGCUUCACGGGUCGGGCUCCAGCUCGGAUAUCCAGCGAGUGCUCGGCGACAUCCCUCGGUAUGCCGGGUAUGUCCGAGGGACUCCACGCAAACACCUUGGUGUUCGGCGGAGAAAGUCGACGAGCACUGCUUCCUAUUUGGGGUCGAGCUCGGAGCCGAUCCGAACUUGCUUGCAGGCGUCAUUGCUGGGGUCGAGAGGGACGGACUUAACCGCCUCUGCUGGUUCGAAGUUGCCGGCGUGGCGCUUCGCAUCUGGCACCUCCUUGGAGAGGCACUCCAGGUCGGUGAUGAGGGCCUCGGACUCGGCGAGGGCCUCAGCGUACUCCACGCACUCCACGUCGCAUUCGUACGCGUGUCGGUACAUGGAUCCGACGGUGAUGACCCCGUUGGGGCCCAACAUCUUGAGCUUGAGGUAGGUGUAGUUGGGGACGGCCAUGAACUUGGCGUAGCACGGUCUCCCUAGCACCGCGUGGUAGGUUCCUCGGAACCCGACCACCUGGAACGUGAGAGUUUCCCUGCGGAAGUUGGAGGGAGUUCCGAAGCAGACGGGCAGAUCGAGUUGUCCAAGGGGCUGGACGCGUUUCCCGGGGAUGAUCCCGUGAAAGGGCGCCGCACCGGCCCGGAUCGUGGACAGAUCGAUUUCCAAGAGCCCGAGGGUCUCGGCAUAGAUGAUGUUGAGGCUGCUGCCUCCAUCCAUGAGGACCUUGCUGAGCCUGGUGUUGCCGAUGAUGGGGUCGACGACGAGCGGGUACUUUCCUGGGCUCGGCACGCAGUCGGGGUGGUCGCCCUGGUCGAAGGUGAUGGGCUUGUCGGACCAGUCUAGAUAGACUGGUGCCGCCACCUUUACGGAGCAGACCUACCGGCGCUCCUGCUUACGGUGCCGAGCCGAGGCGUUCGCCACUUGCCCACCGUAGAUCUUGAAACAACCGUGGACCUCAGGGAACUCCUCUGCCUUGUCGCCCUUCUUCUUGUCGUUGUCUUGGCCUUUGCCACCUUCUACCGGAGGCCCGGCCUUAUGGAAAUAGCGCCGAAGCAUGACGCAUUCCUCAAGGGUGUGCUUGACGGGGCCCUGGUGAUAGGGGCACGACUCCUUGAGCAUCUUGUCGAACAGGUUGGCCCCUCCGGGAGGCUUUCGAGGGUUCCUGUGCUCGGCGGCAGCGACAAGAUCUGCAUCGGCGGCGUCGCGCUUUGCUUGCGACUUCUUCUUGGCCUUCUUCUUCGUGCCGCGCUGGGCGGACGCCUCGGGGACGUCUUCCUGCUGGCGUCCCUGAGGCUGCUUGUCCUUCCGGAAGAUGGCUUCGACCGCCUCCUGACCAGAGGCGAACUUGGUGGCGAUGUCCAUCAACUCGCUCGCCUUGGUGGGGGUCUUGCGACCCAGUUUGCUCACCAGGUCGCGGCAAGUGGUGCCGGCGAGGAACACCCCGAUGACAUCCGAGUCGGUGAUGUUGGGCAGCUCGGUGCGCUGCUUCGAAAAUCAUCGAAUGUAGUCUCGCAGGGAUUCCCCUAGCUGCUGGCGGCAACUUCGGAGAUCCUAGGAGUUCCUAGGGCGCACGUACGUGCCCUGGAAGUAAGGAUGAAAACGGCCGGUAACGGUCGGAAAAAACCUCUCACCGUUUUCACCCGCAUAAAUUUUUGUUCGGUCAAAAUCGGUAAACGGGAAAGUCGGAAACGGAUAACGACCGGUAAAUUCCGGUAUAUCGAAAACGGAUAAAUCCGAGCAAAAUAGCUCGAAAUUGAUCGGGAAACGGUAACUGUAAUCGGAAAAGCUCACAAUAAACAAAUCCUAACUACACAGAUGUUCAUUCACAUCCACAUACAAGUCUCAUUCACAAAAGUACACAAAACACAAUCUUGUCCACAUAUAAUUGGUCAUACACUCAUCCAUGUCCACUCUUAAAUUAUAACACACAACACAUAAAUCUUAAAACACGAUUGUUCAUUCACAUUCACAUACAAGUCUCAACCACACAAAUAUACAAUACAUAGUCAUGACCACACAUAAAUUAUCAUACAUGUUCACUAAAGUUUUAACCACAUAGUAUAUAAGUCUUAAACACACGAUACAUAAACUAGAAAUCAUGUGGCAUGUCGUCUGGAUCACUUGAUAUAUCUUCUAUGACAUCUAAAACCCUAAUCUCUAAACCCUAACGAGUAUAGUUCUUACCUCCUUUGUUUUUUUUGUGGAUCGGAAAAAUACGGUUAAAAUACGGGAAAAUACCGGAUUUUCCCGAGAAUUCCGAAAACGGACGGUAAAUAUGUCUCACCGUUUACCGUACCGUUUUCGUAAUAACACAUCCCGUUUCCGUCCCGUUUUCCGUAUAUCCCGAAAAAUAUGAAAACGGUCGGAAAAAUCUGGUAAACGGUACCGGGAAUUUACCGAAUUUUACCGACCAUUUACAUCCUUACCUGGAAGUUUCCAGCGAAGGCUUUGACCAGGUCGUCCCAGUUGGAGAUCUGCGCAGGGGGCAGAUGCUCCAGCCAGGCUCGGGUGGCGUCGGAGAGGAACAGGGGGAUGUUGCGGAUGAUGAGGUUGUCAUCAUCCGUUCCGCCUAGCUAGCAGGCCAGCCGGUAGUCCGCAAGCCAUAGUUCCGGCCUUGUUUCCCCGAAUACUUGGUGAUAGUAGUCGGGGCUUGAAACCGGGUCGGGAACGGCGCCCGUCGUAUGGCCUGGCUGAAGGCUUGCAGACCUGGUGGUUCGGGCAAGGGGCUCAGAUCCUCCUCGCUGUCGUAGCGUCCCCCACGCCUGGGGUGGUAGCCUUGGCGCACCUUCUCAUCGAGGCGGGCUCGACGGUCGUGGCGGUGGUGCUCGUUGCCGAGGCAACCCGGGGCUGCAGGCGUCGCGUCCCGCAUGUGCCCGGUGUGGACCGAAGCCUCCCGCAUGAGUCAGGAAGUUGCUGCGCGAUGCACCGGGGGCACCCUUGCCUUCGGGAGGCAGAGCUCUCGGCCCGUUGGACCGCGGCAUCCUCUAGGAGAUUCUUGAGUUCUCCCUGGAUACGCCGCCCCUCGGUGGUGGAUAGCUCCGGCAUCGCUCGGAGCAGUAUUGCUGCUGCAGCCAGAUUCUGGCCGACCCCACUGGAAGCCGGGGGCAGCCUUGCCCUGGCAUCGUCAGCGAUACAGUGCUGGUCGUCCCAGGCCUGAUGACGCGCUUCUCCGGCUAGUGCUCAGCCUGCCCACUCCUGCUCAAUGUUUUGCCGGAGCUGCACAAGUUGUCCUGCUUCCUCGUCGAGCUUGGCCUGCAUCUCGCGGAUUUGCUCAAGCUGUGUGUCCUGACCCCCCACAGGGACUGGGACCACAGCUAGCUCCCGCAGGAUGUCAACGCGAGGCGCAGGCCCAGGGGGAUCGUCAUCCUCCGACAUACGAAGGUGGUUGCCUUCAUCGUGACCCCCUAGAUCGACGUGGAAACAUUCGCGACUUGGGCCACAGCCCUCGUCGUCAAGGCUGUGGCCAUCAUCGGAGCAAUCGGAGAGGCAGUAGUCACAUGCGGCCAUGAAGUCUCGCAUGGCACUGGGAAUACCGAGCCCGGAGAAAUCCCAACAAGAGUCGGGCUCAUCUUCUUCCUCGGAACCCGGGGGCCCGUAGGUCGAGACGGCCGUCAGUAGGUCUCAGGUUGACCACAUAUAGUACCCCGGAAGGUUAGGAUAUGCCUUUAUGAAAGCGCUCACCGAAGCGGGGUCGCUUGGUGGAUCAAAGCUGAAUCUAAAAGGCACAGGGUGGAAAACGGACGGUACCUCUCGAUCGAUGGACAGUGACGAAGUCGCGUCGGGGACGGGCUGCACCGUUAUCUCAGGUACGAGGCUAACGCCCAGCAAGCCCUCUGCGAGAAUGCUGGCGUCAUCUGUCUGCUUGGGGUUGGCACGUUGCGGGGAAACGACACUCGCCGUCGUCUCAGGCGCGAGGUCAACGCCCAACAUGUCCCCCGCUGGGGUGCCGGCGUCGUCGACUCGCUUGACAGCCGACGAGGUGUCACCUCCUGCCUGGCCACGGUUGCCCCGCCUCCUCCUCCUGCGGCGAGGAAGGUGGUGGGACAAACCCGGAUGCUGCUCUUCCGCCACGGGGGGAAGACGUCGUCGAGUCCGCCGCCGCCGGGCGGGCUGAUGGCCGUCGUUGUCGCUGCCGCGCUGCGAGGGAAGGAGUACCAUGUCAUAGCUGCCAUCGAGGGACAUGAACUCGAGACUCCCAAAACGGAGCAGCGUCUCGGGCUGAAGAGGUUGCUGGAGACUACCCAUCUAGAACUCAACAGGAAGUUGUUCGUCAACACGCAGCAGGUCCCUACCUGGCGCGCCAACUGUCGGCGUUUCGACCCCGGGGGGUCCCUGGACCGACGAGUAAAACUGUCGCUGCGUGUCCCAGCCCAGAUGGGUUGGCGCGAGAUGGAACACAAGGGGGGAAACCGCGGCUCGUGUUAUCCUGCGCCAAGGGGAUGCACUUGCAGUAGGGGUUACAAGCGUUCGUGAGAGAGAGAUAGAGAGAGAGAGAGAGUGAGCCUGUUCGUCAGCCCGUCCUCCCGCGCAACGACCCUCCCGCAUGAGGGCCCUAGACCUUCCUUUUAUAGAUGCAAGGAGAGGGUCCAGGUGUACAAUGGGGGUGUAGCUAUGCGCUAACGUGUCCGGUAGAGAGGUGCCUAAGCCCUGUGUACAUGCCAACGUGGCUGUCGGAGAGGUGCUGGAGCCCUGUGUACGAGGUAUCGUGGCCGUCGGAGGAGCGCUUGAGCCCUGUAGAAGCACAGCUGUCGGGGCUGCUGGGACCUUGCUGACGUCUUCUUGCUUCCGUAGGGGGCUGAGAACCACCGUCGUCAUGGACGCACGCGGGGAGCCAUCAUUACUUGUUACCGGGGCGAGCCUGGAUGGGACGCCGGUCUUGUUCCCCCGUAGCUUGAGCCAGCUAGGGGUAGGGUAAUGAUGUACCCCCCGUGGCGUGGUCGGUCCGAGCCCAAGGUCGGGCAAGGCGGAGACUCCUCCUGAGGCCGAGGCCGGGGUCGGGCGAGGACGUGAUUCCUCCCGAGGUCAAGGUUGAGGCCGAGCCCUAGGGUCGGGCGAGGCGGAGACCACCUUCUGAGGUCAAGGUUGAGGCCGAGCCCAGGGGUCGGGCGAGGCGGAGACCACCUUCCGAGGCUGAGGCGGGGGCCGAGCCCUGGGGUCGGGCGAGGCGGAGACCUCCUCCUGAGGCCGAGGCCCAAGGUCGGGCAAGGCGAAGCUUCCUGUUGCGCCUGAGGCUGGACUUAGCUGUUUUCAGCCUCACCCUGUCGGGUGGCACAGCAGCCGGAGAGGGGCGAGCGGCGUUGUUUUCCUGUUAGGUCGGCCAGUGGAAGGGCGAAGUGACUGCGGUCACUUCGACCUUGCCGACUGAGGCACGUGUGUCAGGAUAAGGCGUUAGGCGAUCCUCGCAUUGAAUGCGCUUGCGAUACGGUCGGUUGUGAGGCGAUUUGGCCAAGGUUGCUUCACAACGAAGCCUGCCCGAGCUGGGCUGUGGGCGAGUCGAGGGUGCGCCCGUUGCUUGAGGAGGCCCUCGGGUGAGGCGUGAAUUCGCCUGGUGUCACACCCGGAUUUAAGGGACAAAGCCGGGUGCAUCUCAUACAUGCGCCAAAGAAGACAACAUAUAUAAUAACAGAGUGUAUAGAGAUAAAUGUCAUAAUAUAAUCAGAGUACUUUAUUACAUAGCGAAAGUCUUACAAAAUAAGAGAUAAAUAUUGCAGGAUCUAAAAUCUAUCCUUGGCGCCAGAAAGCUGACUGGGAGACGCCACCUAGAUCAAGUCGGAUGCCUCAGUGUUAGGCGGCUCCUCUUCGACCACCUGUUCUUCUCCUGUGGGGGGUGUGAGACAGCAAGAGUGAGCUCACAUACGUUCAUUGCUCAACAAGUCGUGGGGAAUAAUGUGCAUGAAGUCACCAAAGGUGGGAAUUCAUGUGAAGUGUAAUGCUGAUCAACAAAGUAAGGGCUGAGGCUGAGCAUUGCUUUUAUAAGUUGGUCAAAAUUUUAUUAGCAGUUACUAAGUGUAAGUAAAUACCACACCUUAAUAAUAAUAAAGAAAAGUAAUAGAAAAAUAAUCCCAAAUGCGAUGCAAAUGUCAAAUUAAAUUUAAGUUCCAUAAAUUAAUCAUGUGAGGGUCCGAGCUGCUCAUGACCGUGAGCACGGCUAGUAUACCAAUUUUACACUCUGCAGAGGUUGCGCAUCUUUACCCACAAGUCAUGUUACCCAUCUGCCAAGAGAUGGCCAAUCCCAUACACGUCUACCGAGGAGGCGAGGCAGGGUAACACUACGAGGCCUUUACAAAGUUCCACUAGCUUCAGAAAUCCCGCUACAGUUUAUAGGAAGCUUCAGUGCAGGAAUCCCUCGCCUGACCACCAUCGCAGCAAAAUCAACCCAAGGACCUCCCUACACUGACCACUCCCCUACUGCCCUUGCCCCUUUCGGGUAAGGAAGACAUCCACUAGCUUUCCUAGUUAAUCAGCCAAGGGCGUCCCAUUAUACCCUUGUGGUAGCACUGUUUUCCCGGGUGGUCGCUCCAUGUUCCCAUUAACAUAAUGAUCUUAACAUGAAUAAUAAUAAUAAGAUAAUAAAAGUGUAGUAAUUAAUAGUGUAUCUCCAUACCCAAAACCACAAUAAGCGAUAGCAAGUACUACCCAAAAAUAUUCAGUGGUAAACAAGGUAUAAAGAUAACAAAAACUAGGGUAACCUAAUGGAUCCCAUCAAAAUUAACCUAUGCAGAUCAUUAUAAUUAACAAGAACAUGGCUGGAAAAAAGUAAGUGAUCAAGGGCACAACUUGCCUUCAAUGAGCUCCUGCUCAGCUACUUCUACUUGCUGAACCUCAGAUUCCAUAGUGGCUUGCUCGUCUACUCGCAUCAACACAAUACAUACAUAGUAUAGCAAAAAUCAACAUCACACCAAACAUGUAAAUAAAAUAUACAGUAAAAAUCUACACAUUAAAAUGAGAUCAUAGGAACUGGAAUCAUUAAAUUUGGAGUUAUAGAUUUCAAGUUAUGAAUUUCCUAAGAUUUAAUGUGCUUGAAAUAGGAUUAAAUGCUAAAUUAAUUUUUUUACUGUUUUUAUGUCAAAACAGAGACACUAAGUGAUAUAUAUUAAAUUUGCAAAAUUUUAGAAAUUGGAAUGGUUCAAUUUGGAGCAAAAAUGAAUUUUCUAUGGAAUAAACAAGUUUCUAGAAUUGUUUUUUAUUAAAAACUAAAUUCUAUAAUCAUUUCUCGGUUUUUAUUAUCCUCUGGACUGGGCGUCAAUUUCUGGAAAGUUCGGGGGCUCCGGGGUAAGAAUCUCCAGACUCAGUGAACAGUGGAGGCGGAUGGCGGGUUAUUUUAACCUAAACCGAGGGACUCAUAAGAAAAAUGGUGUGGCUGAAGGGGUAUGGACCUAUCGUGACCGUCCGAUUAGAUUCGAAGGGCUGAGAUUAAUUCCAUAUUACAUCGAACCGGUACGCAAUCUAAUCCAUCGGAUCAACUACCAACGGUGACGAUUUUAAAUGGGCUCGAUCCAAUCAUGCCCCUGCGUUGACGAUCCGACGGUCGCAGAUCACCCAACCCAAACGGUACGCUGGGCGCCAUCGCAGCCGUUCCCUACGAAACCGACGGCGCGCAAACCAUCUUCUCCCCUGGUUGCCGAGCGCGACGGCGCCCACCCUCACGGCGACCCGCUCGCCGGAGAACCAUCGAUUUGGCCACAAACCCACCCGAAUUUCCAAUCCAACCAAGCCACACUAAGCCAAAGGUAGGCCGAACCCGAUAGAGCCCCCAAUUUAAUGUUUGAAUGAUGUUACUGCCCUGGCCACGGAGUGGAGCGGAUCCGCGGCGGCGCUUGAACCACGGCGGGCACUACCCGCUGCGGUAAUGCCCUACUACCCUGCCCAGAUGAUGCGCCAACAGGAGAAGAACAAGGCGAGCCAGCAGGAGGUAGCUAUUACCGUAGUUGUUGGGGAGAAUCGCCAAUUGCCGAUGGAGCGUAUGCCGCGGCAGAGGAACGCGUCGACGAACAAUCCCAGUCGACGCCGGUCGAGCCCCUGCCUGACGAUGCCCACAAAAGCGCCCACGCGUAUUAACGGAGUUGCCACGAUGCUUUUCCCGGCUUGGACGGUGGUGCAGAGGGAGAAUCCCCGCGGCGGCGAGGAGAGGCGGCGCGCGAGGUGCGACGGGAUGGCUGUUAGCGAAAAGGGCAGAGAUAUACAUGGGGUUUCGUGGACUCGCUUCUUAUAGAAUGCAGGCACGAACUUCCGUGAGACCAGGGUGUUGGCUAAGCUCGCCGGGAUUCACGGAGGGCACCGCGCGCGUUCUGUUGCGCCCGCGAGCGAGUAUGGGGAGAAGAAGACCUGUGGGUCCCGCCUGGAGGUGACUGGCGCGAGGGAACACCCGGCUGACAAAAGGGCCCCACGCCGCAGCGACACAUGGUGCGCGCGGCAACUGACCAGUCUGGCCCACAUGUCGGCGCGCGGGGUGAAGAAAAUGGGCCGCGCGGCGCGUUGGUUAAGUGGGAUGCCAGAAACAGACCCGGCCCAAGCAGGGGUUUUAUCCUUUUCUUUUUCUCUUUUCUUUUUUUCAAAUUUAGAUUUCCAUUUCUCCUUUUAGCUUUCAAAUUCAAAUUUGAAUUUCAGUUAUGGAUUUGUACUUAUCUCAAAUGUGCCAAUUUACAUUUGAAGUUGAAGAGAAUAUAUUUAAGUGUAUAUUUAUUCCCUAUGUGUUAUGUGGUAUUUCUUUUCUUUCUUUUUUUUCAAAACCCUAUAUUCAAAUUAGGUUUUAAUUCAACUUCUAGUAAUUAUUAUUUUAUUAUCAUUAACAUUAUUAUUUUAUUUAAUGCACAAACAUAUAAACUCCAACAUGAUGCAUUUUUAUCAUUUGUUUGAAUUAAACUCUAAAUUUUGUGUAUGCUCUUUUUAGGAUGCAAAUGAGGCACACAAAAUGAGGAGAUCCACUAUAUCCUUUGUACACAAAUUUGAGUAUUACACCUGGACUACGGUUCCCGCCCGAGGCUGGGCUCGGGCGAGGCGAGAUCGCGUCCCUUGAGUAGACGAAGCCUUGACCUGAAUUGCGCCCAUCAGUCUUUGCAGCUUGUGCUGAUGGUGGUUACCAGCCGUGUUUAGGAGCAUUGGGGGUACCUCUAAUUACGGUACCCGACAGACGCGUUUGGCUGAUUAAUUAGGAAAGAUAGUAGAGUACUACCUUAUCCAAAAGGGACAGGGGAGGUAGGGGAGUUGUCGGUAUAGGGAGGUUCUCGGGUUUAUCAUGCUGCAAUGGCUUUUCAGACGGAGGAUUCCUAUAUGGCUCUCCUUAGAAACCGUAGUGGGUUUUCUGAAGCUAGUGCAACUUUGUAAAGGCCUCGUAGUGCUACCCUGCCUUGCCUCCUCGGUAGAGGUGUAUGGGGUCUGUACAACCCUGUGGCAGAUGGGUAAAACGACUUGUGGGUAAAGAUGCACAACCUCUGAAGAGUGUAAAACUGGUAUAUCAGUCGUGCUCACGGUCAUGAGUGGCUCGGACCCUCACAUGAGUAACUUAUGGAAUUAAACUUAAUUGGUCAUUUGCAUUGCAUUGUGGUUUUAUUAUUCAUUAUGAUCUCUCAUUUAUUUGGGUUGAUAUUUACUUAUACUUAGUAACUGCUAAUAAAAUUUAACCAACUUAUUAUAAGCAAUGCUUUACCUUAACCAUUAUUUGUUGAUCAGCCUGACACUAUACAUGAGACCCCACUGUGUUGAGCUAAUGCACAUUAUUCCCCACACUUGCUGAGCGAUAAACUUUUGUGAGCUCACUCUUGCGAUAAACCCCCCCCCCCCACAGGUGAAGAGCAGGUGGCCUCGGAGGAACACUACUACGAGGAGUUUGACGAGGUCUAGGAGUCGUCUCCCAGUCGACUUAAUGGCGUCAAGGAAAUAAUAUUAGUUCAUUUUAUUUUUAUCAGUUAUUUUGUAAGACAUUCUCGUUAUGUAAUAAUGUUUGUGACAUUUAUCUCUAUACACUUGGUCAUUGUAUGUGUUCUUCUUCUUUGGCACAUAUGAGACGCACCCGAGUUUACCCCCUUAAAUCCGGAUGUGACAUGGUCGAUGUGCGUUGCACCUUCUGAUCCGUCCCUUCCAACUCCGCCUCGCGCGCCCCACUCCUUGGCCAACCUCUCCC